GCUGGGAAGGGUUGAAUCUCACUGGUGGAUACUGGGAAAGGUUGAAUCUCACUGGUGGAUGCUGGGAAAGGUUGAAUCUCACUGGUGGAUGCUGGGAAAGGUUGAAUCUCACUGGUGGAUGCUGGGAAGGGUUGAAUCUCACUGGUGGAUACUGGGAAGGGUUGAAUCUCACUGGUGGAUGCUGGGAAAGGUUGAAUCUUACUGGUGGAUGCUGGGAAAGGUUGAAUCUCACUGGUGGAUGCUGGGAAAGGUUGAAUCUUACUGGUGGAUGCUGGGAAAUGUUGAAUCUUACUGGUGGAUGCUGGGAAAGGUUGAAUCUUACUGGUGGAUGCUGGGAAAGGUUGAAUCUUACUGGUGGAUGCUGGGAAAGGUUGAAUCUCACUGGUGGAUGCUGGGAAAGGUUGAAUCUUACUGGUGGAUGCUGGGAAAGGUUGAAUCUUACUGGUGGAUGCUGGGAAAGGUUGAAUCUCACUGGUGGAUGCUGGGAAAGGUUGAAUCUUACUGGUGGAUGCUGGGAAAGGUUGAAUCUUACUGGUGGAUGCUGGGAAAGGUUGAAUCUUACUGGUGGAUGCUGGGAAAGGUUGAAUCUCACUGGUGGAUGCUGGGAAAGGUUGAAUCUUACUGGUGGAUGCUGGGAAAGGUUGAAUCUCACUGGUGGAUGCUGGGAAAGGUUGAAUCUCACUGGUGGAUGCUGGGAAAGGUUGAAUCUCACUGGUGGAUGCUGGGAAAGGUUGAAUCUCACUGGUGGAUGCUGGGAAAGGUUGAAUCUCACUGGUGGAUGCUGGGAAAGGUUGAAUAUCAGUGUUAGGAAGUGA